rnacentral:rRNA from 1 species
UUCCGGUUGAUCCUGCCGGAGGCCAUUGCUAUUGGGAUUCGAUUUAGCCAUGCUAGUCGCACGAGUUCAGACUCGUGGCGAAUAGCUCAGUAACACGUGGCCAAACUACCCUUCGGAACACAAUACCCUCGGGAAACUGAGGCUAAUAGUGUAUACCGCAUCACACCUGGAAUGAGUGAUGCGCCAAACGCUCCGGCGCCGAAGGAUGUGGCUGCGGCCGAUUAGGUAGACGGUGGGGUAACGGCCCACCGUGCCAAUAAUCGGUACGGGUCAUGAGAGUGAGAACCCGGAGACGGAAUCUGAGACAAGAUUCCGGGCCCUACGGGGCGCAGCAGGCGCGAAACCUUUACACUGCACGACAGUGCGAUAAGGGAAUCCCAAGUGCGUAGGCAUAGAGCCUACGCUUUUGUCCACCGUAGGGAGGUGGACGAAUAAGGGCUGGGCAAGACCGGUGCCAGCCGCCGCGGUAAUACCGGCAGCCCGAGUGAUGGCCGAUCUUAUUGGGCCUAAAGCGUCCGUAGCUGGCCGCACAAGUCUAUCGGAAAAUCCACCCGCUCAACGGGUGGGCGUCCGGUAGAAACUGUGUGGCUUGGGACCGGAAGGCGCGACGGGUACGUCCGGGGUAGGAGUGAAAUCCUGUAAUCCUGGACGGACCGCCGAUGGCGAAAGCACGUCGCGAAGACGGAUCCGACAGUGAGGGACGAAAGCUAGGGUCUCGAACCGGAUUAGAUACCCGGGUAGUCCUAGCCGUAAACAAUGCCUGUUAGGUGUGGCUCCCACUACGAGUGGGUGCUGUGCCGUAGGGAAGCCGCUAAACAGGCCGCCUGGGAAGUACGUCCGCAAGGAUGAAACUUAAAGGAAUUGGCGGGGGAGCACUACAACCGGAGGAGCCUGCGGUUUAAUUGGAUUCAACGCCGG